AUACGAGGGGUGUAAGCGUUAUUCGGAAUUACUGGGCGUAAAGGGUGCGUAGACGGCGCAUUAAGUCUGUUGUUAAAUUUUCCGGCUCAACCGGAAAGCUGCGGUAGAAACUGAUGUGCUAGAGAAUGAGAGAGAGAAGUGGAAUUCCCGGAGUAGCGGUAAAAUGCGUGGAUCUCGGGAGGAACACCAAUGGCGAAGGCAGCUUCUUGGCCCAUUUCUGACGUUGAGGCACGAAAGCGUGGGGAACAAACAGGAUUAGAUACCCCAGUAGUCC
rnacentral:rRNA from 1 species